CUACAGUUUCCAUGAGGGCAUUCCAUCUGCUUCCUGCCAUUCUUCCACAGGAAAUUCUGGGAACAGCGUCAGACAGGCCAUGGCAACCACUCCCACCUCACACUGAACCCACGGUAGAGGGCAAAUACACACAGACACACACUCAGGCCACAAGUUGAGAGAGCUGCCAUACACGGACACACUCAGAGAGACUCCAUACUCUCUCUAGUACGUUCAUGACAGUGGGUUCUCUUGCCCUGAGUGACCCCACACAUUUUACACAUUCAAUAAUACAUACACACAGUGGGAAUUUGCAAAGCUCCAGACAGAGGAAAAGCUGUGGAUUUGGACAUGGAUCUGCUUCUGUAUCCUGUCCCUCUGCUGAGUGUGUUUCUCCUCAUUCCAGCAGUUUCAGCCCAAUCUGCCAUCAAUCAGACCAACCAGAUAGAGGUUUCCAUGGUGACCUCACCCACAACACUGUCAUCCAACACUAUUCAUGUGGCUGGCAGCGUAACCACCCCAACUACAGCCCAUCCAAUGACUGAUGUGACAUCAUCCCCAGCACUCUCACCGCCAGGGAACAACCCUCUUGUGACAACCCUCAGUGUCCUGCAAUCAACAACCUCACCUGGAAAUGACAGCAGUGACAAUGAGGCACCCACAUCCUCACUUCGACUAUCGUGUCCUAAUGUCAGAAGCUCUGCUCAGACUAAAAUACCUAGUACGCACUCACAAGACACUGCUGCUGGACCAGUCUUAGGAUCAACAGCUGCUGCAACAGCAACUACUUCGACCUCUGUGACUUCCCCUGAGGGACCCAAAGGGACACACACAGACAUCCCUCCCACUCAGUCACCGGACAAGAGCCUCACCAUGCUCGCCUUUGGUGUCAUGAGUUUAAUCCUCAUUCUCGUCAUUAUCAUGGUGGUUUUAGUAACAGUGGUCAACCUAAAAGACAAGUGCAGCAACUCCAAGGAGGAAGGUAAAAAGAGCAGUGAUUCUGUGGUGUCUGAAAGCAAUGUCACGUUUAGUGGAGAAAAAGAGAGCAUCACUUUGAUCUCCAUGAAGACCAUUAACACAGAAACUGACACAGACUCCCCCCAGGUCUCCUCCAUUCACAGUACAACACUGGACUAUGAGGAGCAGGAGCUAAACACAGACCUACUGAACAAUAAGCUGGUGUGAAAAUAAAGACCCUAGAUGUUCCGUUCCAAAACACAGAAAUCACCAAACUACUCAAACAAAAUAGUACAGUGAUUGUUCUAUACAUCUGAGAUCAAGUUACCUGGAGUCCACACAGGACCUGAAUUCAUACCUGUGGGGAUAUUAUACAUUAAGCUAGAACUAGGCCUAUCGUUGUGUCUCAUGUUGCCAUUCUAAUACAAAUAUCACAUGUAUUUGUGUGAUGAUAUCAAAACUGCC
rnacentral:lncRNA from 1 species